rnacentral:rRNA from 1 species
GACGAACGCUGGCGGCGUGCCUAAUACAUGCAAGUAGAACGCACAGUUUAUACCGUAGCUUGCUACACCAUAAACUGUGAGUUGCGAACGGGUGAGUAACGCGUAGGUAACCUGCCUGGUAGCGGGGGGUAACUAUUGGAAACGAUAGCUAAUACCGCAUAAUAUUGAUUAUUGCAUGAUAAUUGAUUGAAAGAUGCUAUUGCAUCACUACCAGAUGGACCUGCGUUGUAUUAGCUAGUAGGUGAGGUAACGGCUCACCUAGGCGACGAUACAUAGCCGACCUGAGAGGGUGAUCGGCCACACUGGGACUGAGACACGGCCCAGACUCCUACGGGAGGCAGCAGUAGGGAAUCUUGGGCAAUGGGCGAAAGUCUGACCGAGCAACGCCGCGUGAGUGAGGAAGGUUUUCGGGUCGUAAAGCUCUGUUGUAAGAGAAGAACGGGUGUGAGAGUGGAAAGUUCACACUGUGACGGUAUCUUACCAGAAAGGGACGGCUAACUACGUG